GGAACUCCGUCCGCCUCCACCGCCUUGGGCAUGUCGUCCGUGCGGGACGCCACACAAAAUUGAGGAGGAUUGGCGGAGGAGCUUGUGCAGGCGGCCGAGGGAACCCGAGACGCGGCGGGUGGUGGCACAGGCAAUAGUUGAUGCUUGGCCUUGGCCCUACUUUUGGUACUCCCUUGCACUGACAGCGGAACCGCUCGGCUCUCCAUGUGUGAUCACUUCUUCUCAGAGCACUGCCCCGUCGACUACUUUCCGUGCUUGGCAGACUUCACAGCAUCUCUUCCGUUCAUGAAUGCAGGUACAACACUUGCAGCUUCAUGGCUUCUUUGAGUGUUAAUUUUCUAUAGGUCUAUUGUUUUAAGCUCUUUUCAAAUGAGUAUAUGGUUCUAAACCUUGGAAGUAAUAUUUGUAUUCUGUAGCUUUCAUCUUCAAGCCAUGAAUUUUGAUUUCUUUUACCUAUCUAUCCCUAGGAGAUCAAACAUAAUGGUUUCCAAGUAUCUGAAUAGUGUUCUCAUAUGAUGGUAAGUAAAUCCUGAAAUCUUUGCUAUUUGUUAGGUCUAACGUUCUAACUACACAUGGUUAUGUAAACAAUGUUUCAUUACGUACGUUUAUGGUAACUAUUUUCUUUAAAAGAUAAAAAAAUCAAAUUCUACUUUUCGAUAUGAGAAAUUUGAAGGUUUAUAUUUUCCUGCUCUUUAAUUAGUCUUACUCUCUCUAGGGUACAAGAUCCAGUCGAUAAGAGUUUUGCGGAGCCCAUCUGAAGCAUACAACAUAGCCCUAGGUUUGGUCGCCUCUUCAUCUCAUCAUUACAUCGGACAACAUGCUCUAAGGCUAGAUUAGAUAAAGUGAACUAUUAUGAUCGUACUAGCUAGAUUAUCCUACCAGCACAGCAAAUCCUUAUUCAGGUGACUAAGUGGGUGAGAAUUCUGGUUCAUCGAGGUUAGCAGCAUCUCUGUUAACAAAUAUACUGUAAUUGUGGAGAAAGCACGGUGUCUCCAUGAAAUUACAAGGAGGUACACAUAUUCCACUGUGCCUAAUGUAUCUACGACACGUGUGGUCCAUCCAGCUGAGUGGUAUAUUUCACCAGCGUUGAUUGACAAUGCUGCUACUAAGAAAUAUUCUUCCAUAGUUCUACGUCUUGAGCCCGAUUCA